AUGAAUUGCAUCUUGUGGAACUGUCGAGGUGCGGGGAAUGCUUCGACAGUUUGGGAUCUCGUGGCUCUCUCUCGUGCCCAUUCCCCAAGUUUGAUAUUUUUAUGUGAAACUAGACAACAGAAAGAUAAGAUGCAUCGUCUUCGUAAUAGACUCGGCCUUCGUGGCUUUGAAGGAAUAAGCAAUGAGGGUAAUAGUGAUGGUCUAGCCUUAUUUUGGGAUGAAUCUUUGCACGUCGAUAUUCGUGACUGCAAUAAAAGGUGGAUUGAUGUGAAUAUUCGGUUGCCCGCUGAUGAUCAAGUUUGGAGAGUUACUUUUGUCUAUGGUGAACCACGAGUGGAAAAUAGACACUUAAUGUGGGAGGGUUUGAAAAGACUAAAAGCCCAAGAUGAUAUAUUUGCCUUGGCUCUUGGCAGGAGAUUUUAA
rnacentral:rRNA from 1 species